UAACAAGACAUCAGGGUGCACAUGGUGGUGCAUACCAAAGCCAAACACUUGGGAGGCAGAAACAGACAUGUCUCUGUGAGUUCAAGUCCAGCUUGUUUUUCACAGAAAAUUCCAGGCUGCCAGGACUGUGUAGUGAGGCACUUUCUUACAACAACAACAACAACAACAAUAACAGCAACAACAAUGACAACAGCAGCAUCAACAACAAAACAAUCACCACUACCAACAACAAUGAAAACAAGAGCAAAAGCUAUCUUGGACCCAAGAUUGGAGCUGAGGCCAAGAAUUACAGAGCAGUAAAGCAGACAUGGCAUGAGCCCUUGAAAAUGAUGUUUUGAAUCAGAAUUACACAAUUUCUGGCAAUUCCCUAUUUUAUUCUGCUUGCUGCAGAAGACGGAGGCUCUUUGUCGCUUGAUCGGGGUGAGUUACAUUUGUGAUAACGUACAAUCCAACACACUCUGGGGAGAACACAGCCUUUGUUCACCAUAAUAAAGAUUUGCGUUGGAUUUAGAAAGUAGUGGAAAUAAACGUGCAUUGUUUUGUUUCCUGCUUUUUAUUACUUUCUGUAUUGCUUUAUUCGUGU
rnacentral:lncRNA from 1 species